UACGUAGGGAGCAAGCGUUGUCCGGAAUCAUUGGGCGUAAAGCGCGCGUAGGUGGCCCGAUAAGUCCGCUCUGAAAGUCACAGGCUCAACCUGUGAAAGCGCGUGGAUACUGUCGGGCUAGAGUCCGGAAGAGGCGAGUGGAAUUCCUGGUGUAGCGGUGGAAUGCGCAGAUAUCAGGAGGAACACCAAUGGCGAAGGCGGCAUCC
rnacentral:rRNA from 1 species